GAGGAAGGUCAGCGCCUCGGAGUGGGGCCGCUGGGAGGUGCUUAGGCCAUGAGGACUCCGACCUGGUCUCGGCUCUGCGUCCGCUGCAGCGUAAGCGGCGAUCCACCUCACCGUCUGGUGGGUCCGGUGCGCAGCACAGGCUCACAGCCAGCACGGAGAUCAGAACCGCGGGGAUAAAUCUGACACCCGAAGUAAAUUUCUACCCCAGAUCCCUAAGUCCGAAGUCUUGGAAUUCAAAACCAUAGCUGAUAAAAUCACUCAAGUACAAUAAUAUUUGUAUAAGCCGAACAUUAAAAUGUAAAAU
rnacentral:lncRNA from 1 species